GGCUUUUUGGUUUUUGUUUUGUCGGUGGUGUGCAUCCUACCUAGGGCUCCAUGCAGGCUGGGGCAAGUGCUCUGGAAAUUGUAUGGUAUAUUUUAGGUUUUAAUAUUUUAAAAUGAGAACUUUCUUUGACUUUAUUUGUAUCUUCAUACACCCUGACAUUCUCCACAAGACAUUCUAAUGCUGCUUAUAAAAUCAACACUCAAUGAAGCAAUAAUUGAAUGUAAAAAUUGAACAACAACAACAAAAAAAAGACAAUCGUGGCAGCUUUCAAGAUUGAUAUAAUUGCUGCAUUAAGCCUCAGUUUAGACUGAGUGUAAUGGCAGCCACGGCAUGGGGCAGGUGAGGUCGAUUAAGUCCUUUCAACUUAUUGGAAAGGAGAAAGCACAAGUUUCCCAGUGUUGAUGCAUGGAAUACCAACACUGAAUUUUAAAGAAGUUUGUAUAGUGAUCUUCAGUGAUGCAGUGGCCAAGGACAUCCAAAAAGAGCUUUCGAGAGCUACUUUUCAGCAAGUAUAGACUAUACAUGCUAGUUUUCUGUAGUCACCUCUGGUAAGAGUGAUCAUGUACCAUUAAAAUGCAGGUCUGGGAAAGGGAGUCUGCAAGGACAUAGUUUAAAUGGCCCAACCAGAUCCAGGAAUAGACCCAGAGUUUCCAGAGGUGUGGAUUUUCCUUUCAUAUUGUAAGCUUUCUCAACAAAGCUUUUGUGAAAGAUAGUUGAGAUAUGGUUGCACCCUGUGGAAACUUACUGGGGGUUAGAUGCUUUUAUGGUUGCUGGUUGAGGGUGAAUUUAUAUACUUUAGAAACCAGAAGAACAGAUGUCUAAGUUGCUAUUUUGUUUUGGAAAUGAAAGCACCCAAUGAAGACAUUCAUUUGUACUGAAGGUGAACUUUUCUCCAUAGGCUUUUAGAGGAUCUACAACGAAAACUAGAUUCUCCUUACUGAAGCAGUUUUAAAUUUCUUUUAGCCUACAAGCUAGUACUUCAUUAAUUUUACAAAAUAAAUACUAUGAAAGAUGGCUAAAAUUCAAAGCGGAUAGUAUCAUCAUUUGAUUGCCUAUUCAAGGCUUCAGUAAAGCCUCAGUAAUGCAGACAGCAAUGCAUUACAUCAUGCAUUUAUCAUACUUUUGUAUUAUAUUAUCCUUCAUGUACAAAGCAUAGCAUGGAUUUCUAGUUGUAAUGUCAAAAGUUGGACAUAGCUAAGUGUACUCAUAUGGAAUAGCUACGUUGCGUUAAUACAGCCAGUUGAAUAUUUGAGAGAAUGUUUGCCGCUCUUGGUUUACUUCUGUCUUGUGAUGCCAUGCUUUCUUAAAAAGAAUUAGGCAUUGGGACUUCUUGGGCCAUUUCUCAUUCAGAAAAUAAAACAUCACCUAGCAGGAAGAAAUAUUUCAUUGUAUUUUUUUUAAUUCUGGGGGAAUAUAUGUCAUAAAUAUGUCAUUACUUAGUUUUUUUCCAUGUCAGUAGGUACAAGUAGUCAAGAUUCUUCCUUAAGGAGACCUGAUGAGGAUGACAUGGCUUUCUUUGAAAGGCGAUAUCAGGAAAGGGUAGGUUUUUAAGGAAAUUCACUGGUAUUAAGCAUUUACUUGUAACAAAUACACUAUAGAAUGAUUAUACUUUGAAUGUGGAAUAUAAAAAAAAAUAAUUUGCAAAGUCUUUACUUAUAGUUGGUGUUAGGCCUGGAGGUUUACAUAGAAUAAUUCAGAAAGAAGCAGGACAAAUGAAUAAUGUGAUAUAUUCUACGAUUGAUUUAUAGAGGUCAUAAACAUUGAUUAAAUAUACAAAUAAAAUAACAAUAUCAACUGUCAGCAUAUUUGUAAAUUAUAUGGACUCUCCUCUUCCCUGCUGCUGGGAAUUGAGCCCGGGGCCUCACUCAUGCGAGGCAAGUUUUGUACCUUUGAGCUACAACCCCAUCCUCUAUGUGUAUCUGGAAUUUGUGUUUUUUUAAGUACAAGGUCUAUUUAUUUUUUAAUUUAAAGUAUGCAACUGUCAGGGAGAGGGGAUAGAGAAAGGUUGGUUAACAGGUACAGGGGUGUAGUUGGGUAGAAGGAAUAACUUCCAAUAUUCUGUAACAUAGGAGGAUUCCUAUGGUUGACAACAAUAAAAUGUACAUUUCAACAUAGCAAGUAGGAUUUUUGAAUGUUCUCAACACCUAGAAAAAAUAAAUGUUAAAGGUGAUAGAUAUGCCAGUUACCCUGAUGUCAUUACACUUAUGUAUAGGUAGUAAAAUAUCACACUUUGCCUCAUGAAUAUAUACAAUUAUGUGCUCAUUAGAAAUAAAAUAUAUGUAUCAUAAAAAAUUAUAAAUUAUCUGGGGCUGGGGUUGUGGCUCAAGUGUUAACGCACUUUCCUGGCAUGCGCAGGGCGCUGGGUUCGAUCCUCAGCACCACAUAAGAUGUUUUGUCUACCGAAAACUGAAAAAUAAAUAUUAAAAAAUUUUCUCUCUCUCUCUCUCUCUCUCUCUCUCUCUCAAAAAUGAUAAAUUAUCAAAUGAAGAUUGAAUAAAUUGAAUUCUUAAUCUGUACUAUUUUUUUUAGUGUUUUUUUGGGGGGUUUCAAGUUAAAAUUACCUGAUAGCUUUAAAAAAAGAGAGAUCACUAAACAAAGGUCUUAACAAUUGCUAGGACCCAAGCAGUGUGGUGUGAUGUGUUCCCACUUUCAGUGAUGGCCAGUUUCAUCACUUCUCCCCAGAGCGUGAAGGCCUGGAGAAGAAACAUAGUGUUUUGUUCAUCCUUGUAUUUUUCCUAGUGCUUAGUGUACUGCCUUAUAUGUACCAAGUUUUGCAUAAGUAAUUAUUUAUGGAAAAUAAAAAAAAUUAACACAUAAUUGACAUUUGCCUUCAUGGAUGUCAACUACAAAGACCUUUUUUAUACUUCCAAAAGUUUCAUAGCAGGGCUGGGGAUGUGGCUCAAGUGGUAGCGUGCUCACCUGGCAUGCGUGCGGCCCGGGUUCGAUCCUCAGCACCACAUACAAACAAAGAUGUGUCUGCCGAAAACUAAAAAAUAAAUAUUAAAAUUCUCUCUCUCUCUCUCUCUCUCUCUCUCUCUCUUUAAAAAAAAAAGUUUCAUAGCAGUGUUCAUAUUUGAGAAAUAUGACUUUGGUUUUUGUUAGAUGAAAGUCUGUUGGCUUAAGGCACUAUGAGGGAUGGUAUUUCAGCUGUAUGACAGAAACUGCUUCCUUUAGGACUGUUUACUUGUUAGGGUAUUAUUAUCUCUCCAGCUAAGUAGCAAACCCCACAAAAGUAAAGACUCCUGCCUCCAUUUUUUUCUUUGUGGUGCUGAGGAUCAAACCCAGGACCUCAUGCAUGCUAGGUAAGCAUCUGCCACAGAACUACACUCCCAGGCCUCCAUUCACUUUUUGUUAUGUUUUCUUAGACAAGAGCUCAUUGAAUAACCUAAGAUAUGAAAAAAGAAUACUAAAUAAAUUUACCAUCCAAGAGCAAAGGAAAUGAGUAAGAGAUAUAUUAGCUUGGCUUUCCUGAUGAAGACUUUUGAAACAAAUGGGGAGAGUCCUGAUCAGUGUUUAAGGCUUAACUGGACAGUAGAACUUUUUCGAGAUGGAACUAUCUGUGCUAUAGCCAUUUACCAUAAGUGCCUCCAUGAGUCUAAAUUUAAAUGACUUAAAAUUUGAAAUGAAUUACUUCAGUCACACUACCCACAUUUCAAGUGCUUAGAAGCCACAUGUGGCUUGCGGAUGCCUUUUUUUGUAGCCCCAUUGAGGUUAGGGCUUAUAAUGAAACUGAUCUUCAUUCUUGGAACACACAGAUAUUAAACAUUUCUACUUUCCUGAAAAUUCUUUUGGAAAGCUCUGGCUUAAGUUUGUCUCAGUUUGUUGGGACUGCUGAAACAAAAUUCCUAAACUGGGUGGUUUGUAUACAAUUUUAUUUCUCAGUUUUGGAGGUUGGGUGUCUUAGAUCUAGGUGUGCAAUUACAGUGUCUGGUGAGGGCUGCCUUCUGAUCUACAGAUGGACCUUCUCAUUAUGCCCUCACGUGGUAGACAAGGCAAGGCAGCUCUCUGGGGCCUCCUUCACAGGGCACUAGUCCCAUGCACAAGGUGCCAGCUCUCAUAACCUAAUCCUUGCCUGUAGGUCCCACUUCCAAAGUUUCAGCAUAUGAAUUUGGGGGUGGAGGUCAGAAACUUUUAGACCAUAACAAAGAGAAAAGAGGUAGUAGGAGGACAUCAGGGAGGGAGAUGAAAUGUCCAGAGUGAUUUUUUUAAAAAAAUACUUUUUUUGUAGCCCCAUUGAGGUUAGGGCUUAUAAUGAAACUGAUCUUCAUUCUUGGAACACACACAUUCACAGAUUGAUUUUAAUUGUUCUGGGUUCUAGAACUCUGUGUCCUCCAGAGGCCUGGGUAGUGUGACAGUGUUGAAGACAUGCCAGUGUAUUUGCUUGUGGGAAGAUAAUGAAAGGAGUUCUUAUUUAUGAAUGUUUUAAAGGAUAUUCCAGGCCCAUCCAGAGUGCAGUAAACCUGGAGUGUCUGGAUUUAUGAGAUAUAGUUCAUAACUCUCCAGCCUGUGUGAUUUAUGGCUUUAUGAGACAACUUAUAACCUGUCUAGCCUGUAUGAUUUUUUUAUUAUUAUUAAUUGUUCAAAACAUUACAAAGCUCUUGACAUAUCAUAUUUCAUACAUUUGAUUCAAGCAGAUUAUGAACUCCCAUUUUUACCCCGUAUACAUAUUGCAGAUUCACAUCGGUUACACAUCCACUUUUUUACAUACUGCCAUACUAGUGUAUGUUGUAUUCUGCUGCCCUUCCUAUCCUCUACUAUCCCCCCUCCCCUUAGCCUGUAUGAUUAAUGGUGUUCGAAUCUAAGAAAGCCCAACAGGAAUGAUUUCCUCUGAGUUGACAUGUAUCUCACACAUCAGUAGUCCUUGUCUUUUACUCCAGAACUGUUGAGAGGAAAGGGACAAUUAGCAAACUGUAUCUCUUGGUUCAGGAUCCCUCUCAAGAGCAGUGCUAUGUGGGUAUCUGGGUUUUGCUUCUAUCCUUUGCCAAUCACUGGUAACAUUUGGUGUGGGAAGAAUCUUAUAAUAAAAGUAAGUUGGUUUGGACAGUUGAAGCCUUGGUGGUAACAUGGUUUACCAGCUACUUUCAGAGGUUAUUGAGAAGUUGCUUCUUUUAUAUAUCAGGUCAGAUUAUUUUCUUCUGUUGUGAUGAUGAUGCUUCUCUUUUCCCCAAGAAAGGAGAAUUUUAAUAAGGAAAUAAGUUUCAAAGAUCUGCUAGGUGCAAGGCACUUUAUGCAGGAAAUAAAUUUUUUAAACUUUUUUUUAUAACUUUAUCUUACUUAUUUAUUUAUAUAUGAUGCUGAGGAUCAAACCCAGUGCCUCACCAGUGCUAGGCAAGCACUCUACCACUGAACUACAUCCCCAGGCCCAGGAAAUAAAUUUUAAAAGAAAGGGAAAAGUAGCAGAAGGAGGUAAUUAGGACUCAAGAUGGAUGUAUUAAGUACUAUUUUAAGUGAGCAAACACUGCUUUUGUUUGUUGUUUUGCAUUUUUGCUGCACUUUAAAAAAAAAGAGUUAAUAUAAUUGGGCAUGGUGGAACACACCUGUAAGCCACUCAGGAGUCUGAGGCAGGAAGAUUGGAAAUUCCAGGUCAACCUCAGCAACUGAGUGAGCCUUGUCUCUAAAAUAAAAAUAAAUAAAUAAAAAUGCCUGGGGAUGUGGCUCAGUGAAUAAAGUGACCCUGGGUUCCAUUUUCAGAAGUUGUUCCUAGCAAGUGUUACUGCAAAUCUAACAUUUGGCUUUAAAUGAGAGGAGACAGGGGAGCAGCAAUUGUUGAGUACUUAUUGAGUAUCCAGAUCUUUAUCUAUAUAAUCUUACUUAUGCCUUCAGAACAAGCUUGAGACGUAGCUAUUAUUACUAUGCCUUUUUUUUUAAACAAAUGAGAAACUAUUGGUUAAAUUACUUGCCCCAAAUCUUUAAUAAAUGGAAGAGAUAGAAUUCAAAUGCUCUUCUUUUCACCUCCAAAACCUGUAAUCUUUGCAUUAGAGUAGGGUGUCCUUUGGAGGUCCUUCAGAUGACCUGUUGACUGAUAACAGUGUGUGACAGUGACAUGAAUGCAUGGUUCCUGAAUGAGGUUUGUUUCACAGAGGAGAGAGAAAAUAAUGAGGGAGAAGUACAGGUUAGAUUUAUUACUUUUAUUAUUGGGAAUUUGUUGCUUUGAUUUGAUGGGAUUGGAUAGACUGGUUUUACCAGGUUCCUCCUGGUUUCUUCACACUAUCUCUCCCAGGUUGGAAGCUAGGAAGCCUUGUCUCCACCUGCCAUGCCCUUUAUUUUCUGUCCCCUUCUUUGGCCUAUGAAAAUUGGGGUGUGUGAAUAUGAGUGGGGGUAAGAAGCAGGUGGGCGUGUGUUCUGCUUUGUGUUCUUUAAUCCCAUGGGAAGGGUUUACAUGUGUCUGAAAUGUUAGAAGGCCACCACUUUGGGAAUGUAUGUGGCUGCUUUGCUUGAACUCCAGUGGAGGAGGACAAGGCCUUUGGGAAGAACACUGUGGGAAUAUAGACACCAGAAUUACAGGGAAGCAUCCUUAAAGGAGUCCAGGUGUCAGAGACAGUCUGGCUGGCUUAGGUGCAUUCUGUAACUGUAGGCAAUGUGCACAGGCUGGAUGUAUAGUUAGGCUUUUAAGUAUUAAAAAAAUUUCUUUAAUAGCAGUUCAAAUUAAUUGAUCCUCUCUUCUAAAGCAAUAUUUAUUUAUAUAUUAUUUUUAUUAAAAUGCUUCUGUAAAGUUAAAAUCACAGCACUUAAAAACAGGCAAUCAUGUCUCUUUAAGGAUCGGAUUUUGGCUUUAGUAUAUGGCAGCUUAUUAACUGUGUGGCAUGGUUGUGAUAAAUAAGGCCUGAAUCCAAAUGAGGUAUGUGCAGUCUUUUGUUCCUUAGAAUGGUCUACUACUUAGUAAAUAAAUCAAUGUUUUAAAUUUACAGGUAAAAAUGGAAAAGGCAGCUAAGAUGAAAGGACAAUCUCCGUUGCCAUCAACUACAAAACCUUCGUGAAGGCUGUUGGACAGCUUAAAACCAUCAUGCAAAUAUGUCUUUCUGCUCAUUUAAAUGUAAUAAU
rnacentral:lncRNA from 1 species